GACAGAGGCCUCGAGCGUUAGGCGGAAUCACUGGGCUUAAAGCGUGUGUAGGCGGAUCGUUAAGUGCCUUGUGAAAUCCCACGGCUUAACUGUGGAACGGCUGGGCAUACUGGCGGUCUUGAGCCAUCUAGGGGCGACUGGAACAAACGGUGGAGCGGUGAAAUGCGUAGAUAUCGUUUGGAACGCCAAUGGUGAAAACAGGUCGCUGGGGAUGAACUGACGCUGAGACACGAAAGCCAGGGGAGCAAACGGG
rnacentral:rRNA from 1 species